CAAUAGCGUAUAUUAAAGUUGUUGCAGUUAAAAAGCUCGUAGUUGGAUUUCUGAUCGAGACAUCAGGUCGGGUCCGAGAGGAUCAUGUACUUUGAUUUUGUUUUGGUCAUCCUUGGGGAGAGCAUUUCUGGCAUUCAGUUGUCGGGAUUGGGAUCCUCAUCGUUUACUGUGAAAAAAUUAGAGUGUUCAAAGCAGGCCUCGGCCUCUGAAUACAUUAGCAUGGAAUAAUAAGAUAGGACUUUGGUGGUCUAUUUUGUUGGUUUGCACGCCAAAGUAAUGAUUAAUAGGGAUAGUUGGGGGUAUUCGUAUUCAAUUGUCAGAGGUGAAAUUCUUGGAUUUAUGGAAGACGAACUACUGCGAAAGCAUUUACCAAGGAUGUUUUCAUUAA
rnacentral:rRNA from 1 species